AGCAGCGUAGCUCAGCGGAAAGAGCACGGGCUUGGGAGUCAGAGUUCAUGGGUUCAAAUCCCUGCUCUGCCA
rnacentral:tRNA from 1 species